GGAAACUACAAGUAGCUUGAGAUGGAAGGGGAAAAAAGCCCUGGUGUUCUGCAGAUGAUUGGUGCCUGGUGUAGGUGGCUUUGGCGCUUUGCAAUCCAUAUUGGCUAAUGUUCUGCUUCUCUGAGCAGAGGUACGGGAACCAUGCCACAGAUUGGCUUGGAAGCCAUGCUUUUUCUUUGUAUUUCGGCAUUCUUCUCCUCAAUGAAUCCCAGGUCUGCUUUCUAGUGAUUGUGUUGGGGUAGCUUACCCACUUUCGGGUCUUUUGUAGGUGGUGCAGCGCCCCCUUUUAUUACCCAAACAACAAGCAUGAAAUGAUACAAAAUUUUAAAAGCCUGAAAAUUUUUGUUUAUAAUAUCCCGCUAACAAUUUUUCCUACAACAACCACAAUUCCAAAGGAAAUAAGAGCUGUCAAGGCACCUUGUCUUGAAAGCCAGAAUUCAGACCAUGUCAGGGGUCUAGUAACCUGGAAUAAUACCUUCCGGAAUUGUUCCUCCAAGUCCUCUAACGAGCCAGUGUUAUCAAUGACAAUGUCAGCCUUGGACCUUUUUAAAUCCAUGGCCAUCUGAGCAUUUAUCCUAUUUCUGGCAUCCUCCUCAGUGGAUCCAUCUCUUGCCAUGAGCCGCUGAAGCUGUGUUUCAGUAUCAACCCAUACAACAACAACUGGCUUUGUCCACUUAUCCAUCUUGGUCUCAAAUAGCAAUGGGAUGUCAAGGACAAUUACCUUAUACCCCUUCAACCAAAGCUUCAAAAUUUCACAAAAGAUACCAGAAGAAAUAUAAGGAGCCAAAAGCCGAUUAAGAACUUGACGUUUUGCAUUAUCAGAGAACACUAUCCGGCCCAGUUUUGGCCUAUCCACUUCCCCAUCUGCUUCUAAGAUUUCCUCUCCAAAUGCUGCAACAACCUUAUUAUAGCCACCAGUGUCUUUCUUUAGAACAUACCGAGCGACUAGAUCGGCGUCAACGACGGGAAAUCCAUGGGAUUUGAAAAGAUUGGAGACCGUACUCUUCCCCGACGCUAUUCCACCGGUCAAUCCCACCAACCUCAUUUUCACUGUAGUUGAGAUGCUCCUUUUGCCCUUAUUCCCAAACAAAGCAAGGUAUCGAAAGCGAGUACAGUAAAUAGAAGCUGGACGGAUUUCACAAUACAUAAUCGAAAUUUAGCUCUCUAGUCUCCCACACAUAUUUACAAAUUACGUGCUUCAGGGUCUGUUUGGAUGGAGUGAGGAAAGG
rnacentral:misc_RNA from 1 species